AUUGAACGCUGGCGGCAGGCCUAACACAUGCAAGUCGAGCGGAUGAAGGGAGCUUGCUCCUGGAUUCAGCGGCGGACGGGUGAGUAAUGCCUAGGAAUCUGCCUGGUAGUGGGGGAUAACGUCCGGAAACGGGCGCUAAUACCGCAUACGUCCUGAGGGGGAAAGUGGGGGAUCUUCGGACCUCACGCUAUCAGAUGAGCCUAGGUCGGAUUAGCCAGUUGGUGGGGUAAAGGCCUACCAAGGCGACGAUCCGUAACUGGUCUGAGAGGAUGAUCAGUCACACUGGAACUGAGACACGGUCCAGACUCCUACGGGAGGCAGCAGUGGGGAAUAUUGGACAAUGGGCGAAAGCCUGAUCCAGCCAUGCCGCGUGUGUGAAGAAGGUCUUCGGAUUGUAAAGCACUUUAAGUUGGGAGGAAGGGCAGUAAGUUAAUACCUUGCUGUUUUGACGUUACCAACAGAAUAAGCACCGGCUAACUUCGUG
rnacentral:rRNA from 1 species